rnacentral:rRNA from 1 species
UACGUAGGGUGCAAGCGUUGUUCGGAAUUAUUGGGCGUAAAGCGCGUGUAGGUUGUUUAUUAAGUCGGGUGUGAAAUCCCUAGGCUCAACCAAGGAAGUGCAUCCGAAACUGAUAAACUAGAAGAUGGUAGAGGAAGGUGGAAUUCCAAGUGUAGAGGUGAAAUUCGUAGAUAUUUGGAGGAAUACCGGUGGCGAAGGCGGCCUUCUGGACCAUUCUUGACACUGAGACGCGAAAGCGUGGGUAGCAAACAGG